CUCCUUGUGUAACUUUAUUGCUACAUCGCUUCGUGUAACUUUAUGACUACCCUCGCUCUGUAUAACUUUAUUGGUACUCUCAGUGUAGCUUUAUUGGUACCCUUGCGAUGUAUAACUUUAUUGGUACCUCGUUCGGUGUAACUUUAUCGGUACCCUCGCACUGUGUAACUAUCGAUACUCCCGCUUUGUGUAACUUUAUUGGUAUCACUUUCUGUACUGUACUGUACAGUAUAUCUUUAUUGUGCUGCCGGGCGCAGUGUCGCUCUGUGGGUCGCCAUGGAUCGGCUGAGCGCGGUUGAUCCGUUCGCGCGGCCCCCGUGCCCCGGCUGCUCCUCGUAUCUCGUGGAGCCGUACAUCAAGUGCAGUCAGUGCGGACCCCCUCCGCUGCUGCUUUGCCUGCAGUGUUUUGCACAGGGCCUGGAGUUAAGGAGCCAUCGCAGUGAGCACAGCUAUGAAAUCGUGACGACAGAUUUCCCGGUGCUCGACAUCGGCUGGACGGCACAGGAAGAGAUGACGCUGCUGGAAGCUGUUCUGGACUGUGGGUUGGGAAAUUGGCAAGAUGUGGCCAAUCAGAUGCGGAGGAAGAGCAAGGAGGAGUGCGAGUGGCACUACAUGGAGCGCUAUAUCAACAACCCCCAUUUUGCGUCUCCCGCAGCCGGCACGGGGCCUAGCGACAGGGCGGAGGCCACCGCCGUUGCUGCCCCCAUUGCUUUUCAGGCUUGCGAAGAUCCUCCGAGGCCGGGACUUGACUCGGCAGUGGCAAGGGAGAUGGCCGGGUACAUGCCGGCCCGAUCUGACUUCUGCCAGGAGUUUGAUAACUAUGCUGAAUGGGACUUGAGGGACAUAGAUUUUGUGGAAGAUGACUCUGAUGUCUUGCGUGCCCUGAAGAUGGCCGUGGUGGAGAUCUAUCACUCUCGCCUCAAGGAGCGGCAAAGGCGUAAAAAAAUUGUUCGUGACUAUGGACUCAUUAACCUUCGCAAAUUCCAAGUCCUGGAGCGACAAAACAGCAAAGAGGUGCGGGAUUUAAGCGAGGCCAUUCGUCCCUUUGCUAAGACGAUGAAGCCCUUGGAGAUGGACAAGCUGAUCGAGAGCUAUGCACUAGAGUGUGAAUUGCGCAAGGAUGUCCAACGGCUACAGGAUUACCGUGUCUGUGGAGUCACCACCUUCAGAGGAGCGCGCGUGUAUGAGCGGCUGCUCGUGCGCCGUGAGGAGGAGAAGCUGCGGCGCACUGUACUACAGGAUGUGAUGCAAUACGUGCAGGACCCCAACGCCUGCCAACAGUGGCUGCAGCGGCAAGCAGCUCUGGAUGCUGGCCGUAACCCAGGUGGACCAAUCAUCCCCUCUCUUGGCCGAAGAAAUGCACCGCCUUUGGAUCUCACCGGACUCCCUGGCACUGAGAGGCUUAAUGAGCAGGAGAAGGAGCUGUGCCAGGCUGUGCGCCUCGUCCCAGAGGCGUACUUGGAAUAUCGUGGAGCUCUGGCAGCCGAAAGCCGCAAGCUGGGUGGGUUGCGUCUUGCCCAAGCCCGGGCUCUCAUAAAGAUUGAUGUCAACAAAACUCGGAAGCUGUACGACUUCCUUCUGCGAGAGGGUUACAUAUCCAAAGGUUAAGUAAUGGUGUGCCCAUCAGCCUGUUGCAUGAACCAUUUCUUCUGUUUACACGUCACUGAUUUCUCUUUUAGAAAUACAGACAUGUAGGUGCUGUGAACAUCCACACGCAUAAUCUGCACAAUAUGGAAGCUGAGUGGAUAUAUGCCUUACAAGUGCUUGAUGCUGAGAUGUGUUUGUUUACUGAGCCCCUUGCUGCUGAGAGAUGCUUCUGUUGUUGCAUCUUGCUGGCAGCGCAGUAGCAGCUGCCGGGCGCUGGUGACGCACGCCUGUAAUCCAAUUAUAUGGAGGCAACGGUGGCGGCGGCGGCGAGUGAAUCACACAUGUUGUGAAAGUCCCUGCCCAUAGGUGCCAACGUGCAAUUAUAAGUACAGUGGUACCUCGGUAUACGUCGUUAAUUCGUUCCAGAAGGUAGGACUUAUACCGAAAAUUUCGUAUACCAAACGAAUUUUUCCAAUAAGAAAUAAAGGGAAAGGAAAUAAUCCGUUCCAGAGUAUAAGAAAUUAUAUUUUAUAUGGCAUAUACAUUAAUGGGGUUGUAUGAAAUAAUUUAGACACUACUUAUUACUAAAAUGCAUACAUGAAUUAAAAUAAAUGCAUAAAUAAAUUAAAAUAAAAUGUAACAUCACUUUACCUUGCUAAGAGGAGUUGAUAGCCUACGAGGAUGGUGGUGAGGAAGGGGGGGAGGAGGAGAUGUUUAAUGGAAGGAGAGGGUCCCCUUCCAUUAAAACUUCAGGAAGCUGAAAUUCUGGGGUUUUUUCUCUUUCUUUUUUCUGUCUUUUUUCUUGACUUGGACCUGUAUUCUUGGUUCUUUCGGUAAAGUCACGUAGAAGGGAAAUAAUCAAAAUAAAACAAUGAAAUAGAAUUUUCAUGACGUUUCGGCCACAAUGCAAGCAGCCAUCCUCAGGUGAAGAAACAGCUGUCGGAAAGACAGCGUCCUAAUGAACACUGCUAAGCUUGGCAGCGUAUUUUAAGCUGGGUGGGAGGAGGAGAGCGCCUUUACAAAGGAGUUUACAUAUCAACAGAGGAAUUUAGAAUAUUGAUGACAAAUGUAGAUAUGGGGUUAGUUACUUCUUGUGGAAUGUGUAGAUCGGUGGGGGGGUCUCAAAGUCAUAUGCUAGUGUAUUAUGGAGAAUUAGCAGUAAUAAAGGAAGGGAAAUUUUUAAUAAUAAAGAACUGCAACAGCCCAAACCACCGCGUAUCAAGCUAGUGCAUUAUGUGGAAAACAAAAAAGGAGCUUCUAAAGAACUACAAAUACCCUACUACCAUACAAUAAACCGAUGUGGAAAAACUAAAUAUAAACUACAUCAAUAUAAUCAAUAUACCCAAUAUACUCUCCAAUAAGCCGAGCUAUUAACAUUAAGUAACUGGGUAUACACUACACUAGUAGUUCUUUAGAAACUCCAUUUUUGUUUUCCACAAUGCACUAGCUUGAUACGCGGUGGUUUGGGCUGUUUGCGUUGUGGCCGAAACGUCGUGAGAAUUUUAUUUUAUUAUGUUUUAUUAUUUUAUUAUUUCCCUUCUACGUGACUUAACCGAAAGAACCGAGAAUAUGAAUCCCUGCAGUCACGAAAGCUUUAAAUCGAGACUUGGACCUGGUUGAGGCUCACCAGGUUUGAGUUUUACUAAAAACCUGUCCAUUCAAGUUUGUUUUUGCCUUCUAAGAAUGUUCCUGAAGUGUGACAAUGUCUGGUCAUGCCACCACAAUAUUGUUACGGCUUGUUAGACCCAUAACAGUAUUGUGUAUGUGGGUACUGUACACGGUGACUCAUCCCGACCCAUACAAGUUCUAGCAAGCGCGUCGUAUCCCAAGCAAGACGUCGUAUCCCAAUACAUUUUUUUAUCGUCAAAACACGACGUAUACCAAAUUUUACGUAUUCCAAAGCGGUCGUAUACCGAGGUAUGACUGUUGAACUUCUUUUGCACUGUACGAAGCCAACCGUGCUAAUUGGAGGUGCGGCUGAAGGACAAGAAACUAAACACAAAGCAGUUUUAAAGAAAUUAGUUUUCAAUCUAGAAUUUAAAGUGCAUAGCUCCAGUGGCUUCCUAAUAAACUGGCUUGCCAGGAGAAUGCAGUAAAAAUGUGGACUUCACCUGUUCUGUCUUUUCGGGAUUGAGUGUUUCCCCCUUGCAUAGGUGUUUUUUUCCGAGUGCUCUGGUUUCCUCCCACAUAUAACCACUAAUUAAUUGGCCGAUGCCUUAAUAUAUAGUGGUCCGCAGAGCUUGGGGAAUUGUGGCUGUUUUCCCACUUGUCUCGGUGGUUCCUCUAACCUUUAAGUUAUUCUGAGUGAUCGGAUAUUGUGCGGCCUGUUCGUAGUUCGAAUUAUUACUUGGGCAUGGCCUAAAUGGUAAAAUAACACACAGCGUUUACAGAAAGCAAACGCACACUGAUGCCUAUCUGAAUGCAGAUUCGCAUCAUCACCCAGCUCAGAAAUCCUCUCUUAUCAAGACGCUCAUACAUCGGGCUAAAACAGUGUCAGAUGGUGAAAGUCUAGUGAGAGAGAUUAAACAUGUUAAAGAAGCACUAAGACAGAAUGGCUACAAUAAUGCUCAAAUUAACAGAGCACUAAAAGCCAAAUCACGAUCGCAAAGCAACACUGCUGAAAGCGAUCAGAUUAUUAAAACAAUAAAAAUACCAUUUAUCUCAGGAGUAACUGAUAAAUUAGCCCGUGUUUUGCAAAAGCAAAACAUUACAGUAAGAUUUGGUACAGUACACAAAAUUCUACAACUAGUAACGUGCACUAAAGACGAAUUACCUAAAUUAUCAACAGAAGGUGUAUAUCGGAUUAAUUGUGUAUGUGGCAGAUGCUAUAUUGGACAUACAGGGCGUAACGUUAGUGUAAGACUAAAAGAACACCAGAGAAAUAUUAAACUAUCACAAACACAACUGUCGGCAGUAGCAGAACAUGCAUGCCAACAGGGACACUCAAUUGAUUUUGACAACGUGGAAGUGUUGUGUAAAACUAGUUACUACUGGCAAAGACUAAUUAGAGAAUCGAUUGAAAUUGAGAGAAACAGAAAUAACUUUAAUCGCUCAGACAGCUACAGGCUUAGUGCGGCCUGGAAGCGUAUUAUUAAAUAAGAUACAUUACAAUUCCUUAUAAGGGAAACAACCACUAACUGAUUACUAAUGUAGCAUAAUCACAAUAAAACACAUUCCAAAUGAUUACUAAUCUACAACUCGCAUCGUAACAAUAGCCUGAUUACUAAUCUAGUAUAUAAUUACAAUCACUCCCCCCUUGAAUCUUUGCACCUGAUGAGUUAAUAAGUUAAUGAUGACGUCACCCUGCUGCUGCUCUAUAUAAGAACGGGAGACACAGCAGAGCCCCUCACCAUUCUGGCGAAUUGCCCGAUGAUGCUGGAUGCAAUUACCAGCGACACGUCGUACUCAAAUUGUAAAUGUUGUGGCUUCAACACACCGGUGGGCUGAAGCAGUGAACUAUUUGUCUUUGUCAACGUGACACAUUUUUUACUGAUUGGCCGUGUCGGGUGGUGGAGGGUUACGACACAUUUAUAAAUAACGCGAUCUAAACCCAAAAACGUUGAUUAUGAAUUCGAAUUAUUAAGCGCCUCGAAAAUACAUGUUUCUCGGUUUCAAUGUAAAAUGGGCGAAAUCAAAUUCAAGAAUGCUCCCAAAACUAAGAUGAGUGUGAGCUCCUGUUGUCGUUUAGGUGCUUGGGAAGAAUAGAAUCCGAUAGGUUUUCGGUUCUCACCACUUCACCUUCGGUGGCCACGCGGGUGGAUGAUGAUCCCGAUGAUCGUGUGACCCUGCAGGGCCAAUCACGCGAGCUGUCCCUGCGCAUUUUGUUUUGGCUCCGUGUGGGCAUCGUGGAGGACGCGAGACACGGGAGGACGCGAGAAAGACACCAAGGAUGUGAGGGAGACUCCAAGGACGAGAGACACACACCGAUGAUGUGAGGAAGACACCAAGGAUGUCAGCCUAUUGCUGUGGUUUGUUUAUAUUCACGUGGAUAAAUUGUGGAGACGUGUUGCUUUCUCCAGGAUAUUCCUGGUAUUGAUUUAGACCUGUUCAGCAUUGUCAGUAGCUUAAGCUUUCCACCCUUUCAUUUAGUAAAUUACAAAACUGGUACAGAUGUGAACUCAACCUCAUGUGCAGCUCGAGCGAAAGUCAUUCGUAUUAGUCUCCAUGAACAUGCAUUGGGCCUCUCGGUUCGCCUGGCUGCAGCAAGUCCAGGCUAUUUUUUAUUUUAUCAGCUUUGGCUCAACUAAGCUAUAUAGCUCUUUUUCAGAAGCGAUCUGGGUACAAAUUAUAGCUGAACGAAGUGGCUUGUGGAAAUUUAUAGCAGCCAAAUACUCUAAAUGCAUGUUUCUAAAUGUGGAGGGAAAACUCGUAGAAUCUGGAGAAAAAUUCACGCAGCCACGGGGAAAACAUGCAAACUCCAAAUAUACAGGUGUUGGGGUGUAAGGAUCUUUCCCACAACCUCCUGUAUAACAGGUGAGGUAGUUAACAUUUCACCAUAUAUACCUGCGUUUGGAUUGAACACACCUAGGACGUAUGCUCUGCUUGCGCAUUUAUACACAAAACUAUCAAACCCGUCUCUUCAAUGUUGAUGGAAAGUGGGGCAACUAAAUUUGAGAAUGUAAUCUUACAUCUGCAUCCAUGCCGAGUCAUGGGCAAGAGACAUAGCACUUGUGGUCCUGUUACUGUAAAUUACUGUGAUGCGAAAAGAUCAUUGGAACCCCGAUGAAGGGAAUGCCUCUUCAAAUGUGCAGUUUAUUGUGAUGAGUAAAAGCGUAAUGUGC